CCUACGGGCAGCAGCAGUGGGGAAUAUUGGACAAUGGGCGAAAGCCUGAUCCAGCCAUGCCGCGUGUGUGAAGAAGGCCUUCGGGUUGUAAAGCACUUUCAGUGGGGAAGAAAGCCUUGGGGCUAAUACCCUCGAGGAAGGACAUCACCCACAGAAGAAGCACCGGCUAACUCCGUGCCAGCAGCCGCGGUAAUACGGAGGGUGCGAGCGUUAAUCGGAAUUACUGGGCGUAAAGCGCGCGUAGGCGGUCUGAUAAGCCGGUUGUGAAAGCCCCGGGCUCAACCUGGGAACGGCAUCCGGAACUGUCAGGCUAGAGUGCAGGAGAGGAAGGUAGAAUUCCCGGUGUAGCGGUGAAAUGCGUAGAGAUCGGGAGGAAUACCAGUGGCGAAGGCGGCCUUCUGGACUGACACUGACGCUGAGGUGCGAAAGCGUGGGUAGCAAACAGGAUUAGAUACCCCGGUAGUC
rnacentral:rRNA from 1 species